rnacentral:rRNA from 1 species
UACGGAGGGGGCGAGCGUUAUUCGGAAUUAUUGGGCGUAAAGGGCGCGUAGGCGGCUUCAUAAGUCAAAGGUGAAAUCCCUCGGCUCAACUGAGGAACUGCCUUUGAAACUGUGGAGCUUGAGGCCGGGAGGGGGUAGCGGAAUUCCCAGUGUAGCGGUGAAAUGCGUAGAUAUUGGGAGGAACACCAGUGGCGAAGGCGGCUACCUGGACCGAAACUGACGCUGAUGCGCGAAAGCGUGGGGAGCGAACAGG